rnacentral:rRNA from 1 species
AAUGAACGUUGGCGGUGUGGAUUAGGCAUGCAAGUCGUGCGCGAAAUGUAGCAAUACAUGGAGAGCGGCGAAAGGGAGAGUAAUACAUAGGUACCUACCCCCGGGUCUGGGAUAGCGGCGGGAAACUGCCGGUAAUACCAGAUAAUGUCUCCGGACCAAAGGUGUGAUUCCACCUGGGGAGGGGCCUGUGGCCUAUCAGCUUGUUGGUGGGGUAACGGCCUACCAAGGCAAAAACGGGUAUGGGGCGUGAGAGCGUGCCCCCACUCACUGGGACUGAGAUACUGCCCAGACACCUACGGGUGGCUGCAGUCGAGAAUCUUCGGCAAUGGGCGCAAGCCUGACCGAGCGACACCGCGUGCGGGAUGAAGGCCUUCGGGUUGUAAACCGCUGUCGUAGGGGAGGAAGGGUCCGUGAAGAACGGAACUUGACCGAUCCUAGGAGGAAGGGCCGGCUAAUCUCGUGC